GGGGUUGUAGCUCAGUGGUAGAGCACUUGCCUAACAUGUGUGAGGCACUGGGUUUGAUCCCCUGCACCA
rnacentral:tRNA from 1 species